UGGGGAAUAUUGCACAAUGGGCGCAAGCCUGAUGCAGCCAUGCCGCGUGUGUGAAGAAGGCCUUCGGGUUGUAAAGCACUUUCAGCGGGGAGGAAGGCGUUAAGGUUAAUAACCUUGGCAAUUGACGUUACCGACAGAAGAAGCACCGGCUAACUCCGUGCCAGCAGCCGCGGUAAUACGGAGGGUGCAAGCGUUAAUCGGAAUUACUGGGCGUAAAGCGCACGCAGGCGGUUGAUUGAGUCAGAUGUGAAAUCCCCGGGCUUAACCCGGGAAUUGCAUCUGAUACUGGUCAGCUAGAGUCUUGUAGAGGGGGGUAGAAUUCCAUGUGUAGCGGUGAAAUGCGUAGAGAUGUGGAGGAAUACCGGUGGCGAAGGCGGCCCCCUGGACAAAGAAUGACGCUCAGGUGCGAAAGCGGGGGGAGCAAACAGG
rnacentral:rRNA from 1 species